GCGAUGGCAGAAAGAAGGACACUUCUCAGGUCUAGUUAUUGCAUGAAGUGUCCCUGACCACGGCUGUGCUCAAGGAGUCUCACAGAUUCCUCAGGAGGCAACAGGACGUUUUUCAACGAAGAUGUGACAAACCCAUGCCAGUACCGUUUACGAACACUGCCUGGGUUCUGUUUCUCAUGUAGUAAUUCUUUUCCACGAGAUCGGGGUUUGUAAGUGCUCAGGCAGGAAGCUGUUUAUCAUUGAAAGCCACCAAAGGAGGGCUGCCAUCCUCUUUACCCAAGACCUCUGAGACUUUCCUUUGAAUUAGGAGCUGGGGUUCUCGUCCCAUGAUAUGGCAGAGUUUCUGGAAACUGAUUUGGGGAAGAGGAAGCUGACUUACAUGGGAGUCACCCUCUCAGUUGUCAUUCUCUAUCACCCCCUCCCCCAUAAUGUUUUUUCAAAGAACAGGAAAAUGGUGACAUUUCCAGUGAGAGUUGGGAUUUAGUUAGAAAUCUAACGUUCAUCUGACUUUUGAGGCUCACUUUGAGGGUUGCUACCUGUUUUCAUGUAGCAUUACUUCCAAUGUGGUUUACUCUCUUUGCUGUCAUUUAAAAAAAUCCGUUUUGUCUGGAUGCAGACUAACCAGGCUCCAUUUUGUUACUCUUACUUGGAAGGUUGUUUACAGUCACUUCAUCGAGCAUCUACUGGGAGCCAGCCACUGUGCAUGCCACCAAGAAAACUGUUAUGAAGAGUGUAGUUCUUACACGCAGAGAGCCCACGGAGGAGGGAAAAGAGGGUGUGAAGCUGGCCUUACUCGAAUCAUAAGGACUAAGAGCUGGAGAAGAGCAGUUCAUCAAGGGAAAAGGAGGAGCUAUUUUCAGAAGAAGAAUGGAUACUUGGUGGUCACAUCCAUCACAAUGCCCAUGAUGUCCUUUUCUUGCAGAGAUAUUUUAAUUUGGACUGUCCUAAGCUAUUAGAGUGUUCUAGUAAUCUUCACCCUCAAUACAGAAGAGGUUGGAUUUCCAGGUUUCUGAUUUCUUGUCUCCCAGAGUUUCCUUAAUUCCAAGUUUUCCCACUUCCUGCUUAGCAGUGGACCAGUGUUCGUGAAGAGGCGUCCAUCCUCCCUCAGUACAUUGGGAGCCUGCUUCUCUUAUGUUUGUAUGACUAACAGGGGUGACUCAAAUGUUUAGUGUGGUGGUUCUCAAGGUUGUGGUCCCCAGAUCAGCAGCAUCAGCAUCACCUGGAAACUUAUUAGAAAUGCAAAUUCUAUGGCCUCAUCCCAGACCUACUGAUUCAGAAACUCUGGAGGUCAGGUUCAGACAUCUGUGCUUUCACAAGGUCUCCAGAUGACUCUGAUAACAUACUCAAGGUUUGAAACCACUGAUUUAGGGACUAGUCCAAGAAAAUCUACUCUAGGAAGACUGAGUAUGAAGAGUCCACAUCAACUUACCUCUUUUAUAGUCUGCCUUCCUAAGCUCCUGACACCAAGGGAAAGAUUCAUUAAAUCUUAAAUGCUGCUUGCUGGAAGCAAAGAGAUUACUUUGUGCUUGGUGCAAGAGGCUUUCAGUGAGCUGCAGUUGAGAAUCUCUCAGAAAAUUCUUGUUGGCUUUCAGGAAAUGAAUGUUCCUGGAGAUGCGGCAGCUGCCAGGCUCAUCCUAG
rnacentral:lncRNA from 13 species